rnacentral:misc_RNA from 1 species
UUUCCGUAGGUGAACCUGCGGAAGGAUCAUUAUUGAAACUUGAAUCGUAGCAUUGAGAACUGUUGCUGACCUGUUAAAGGGUAUGUGCACGUUCGACGUGUUGCGUUCUAUUCAUCCACCUGUGCACCUUUGUAGACUUGAUUAACUUUCGCUUUCCAGCGGUUAGAAGGGCUGCUUUCGAGCUCCCUUUGUCUAUCAAGUCUAUGUCUAUAUAAUCUCUUGUAUGUCUAGAAUGUCUUGUUUAUGGGACGCAAGUCCUUUAAAUCUUAUACAACUUUCAACAACGGAUCUCUUGGCUCUC